rnacentral:rRNA from 1 species
AGUGAACGCUGGCGGCGUGCCUAAUACAUGCAAGUCGAACGGAGUGGCGCACGGGUGAGUAAUAUAUAGCUAAUCUGCCCCUUGCUGGAGGACAACAGUUAGAAAUGACUGCUAAUACUCCAUAGCAAGGGAUGAGACUAUAUCGUAUCAGCUAGUCGGUGGGGUAACGGCCUACGGAGGCUAUGACGCGCAACUGGUCUGCGAGGAUGAUCAGUCACAUUGGAAGGGAGACACGGGCCAGAAACCUACGGGAGGGAGCAGUAGGGAAUAUUGCGCAAUGGGGGAAACCCAGACGGGUCAACGCCGCGUGGAGGAUGACACUUUGCGAAGCAUAAACUCCUUUUGAUAGGGAAGCGGUACCUAACGAAUAAGCACCGGCUAACUCCGUGCCAGCAGCCGCGGUAAUUC